UAAAGGACAAAGAAACAAGCCAUUCGCAACAUAACACCGUUGAGUGCCUGGGAACCUCAGUAAAGCUUGACUCAUCAGCGUCAAAACUUUUAGCUCUUAUUCAUACUCUGAAUUUUGUGAAAGAAACAGCUUUGCAGCGUCGGUAGGCACCAAGGACUUACGCAAUUUGACAAGGGUAAACAGAAAAGAUCACAUCAAAGGCACAAUAGUCUAGUGGUCUUUGAAUUUUGGAUUUAACUAUGGUUCACGGACAAGCCUUGGAACAAGGGAAUCUUCCAACCAGGAGAAGAAGCUUAGGGAUUCAAAGAAGACAGUCUAUAGUUUUAACAGACGAUUUUUGCAACCAGCUCGCACAAGAGGAACUGAUGGCAGCUAUCAGUAUUCAACGCUAUGAGGAAGCCUACAAGAACGUGUAUGGAGCAACAAGGUCUGUACAGAGAAGGAACUCGGCCACUCUUCCUAUGAAUAAUUCAACUAUCUUAAGGAAAUUUGGCUCAGAUCCUUGUUUGAUGGGGUUUCUUGGUUAGGAAGAACCAAAGGAUGUUAGUUGCCUUCCUAAUGAGCAACGUGGGCACGCACUGUGAGAGAAAUGUCAUCAGUUCACGAAACAUAACAUGACUAAAAGAAGUAUAAAAAUAAAGAUGGUUUCGAGCUGCUGAUCAAGGUAUUAUUGCAAGACAAUAAAUCAAGCUGGAAUAGUGUCAACAAAGGCCAGUCACUUUAAUCUAAAGUCUCUUCAAGUGAAAAUGAAAAGAGAAUAUUUCCGACAGGAGACUUUGCAAAAUCAAACACAACUUUUGUUCUAUUUUUAUAGCAUCAUAUAAUAUAUAUUUAUUUUGAUGAACUUGACGGGAUUUGCAUUUUGUAGAUGAUCCGACAAUAUUAUGUAGCCAUGAAAUCAAUAAAAUGCAGCCAUAGAAGAAAAAAAAUUAAUGUAAAAUUGAGAAACAAUCUUAAUUUGGUUGGUUUGUUAGUUGAUCAGUAUUUGAUUACCCGUGCUUUCGUGUCUAGAGGACUGGAUUUGUCAGUCAGAUUAUCUUGAUAUAUUUUGUAUUUAUACUUGUCCAGAAAUGAUUCAAAUCUGUGCGCUAUGUUGACCUACCUCCGCGCGGUUAAUAUUAUUUCACAACAAAUUCUUUUCCAACAUUUCUCUCAGGAAAAAUAAAUUGCUGUGUAAAAGUUUACUUUAUGGUCAAGUUUUUAAUUCUCGAGAAUCAUUUUAAUACUUUACAAUUAUUUUGUGUUAAUACUCGUGUAUUUAUGUUCCCUUAUGACUUGCCCGUCAUCUGACUAUGACUGUUUUAAUUUUAGUACAACUUUGCAUGUCUAGUACGGUGUUGGUUUAUUUGUGGGUUUGGGUGAAAGGCCAUGCCAGGAAGGAAGGACUUAGAAACAGUUCAUGGUUCUGUGUGGAAGCUUGAACCAAACUGGCUUGUUCUGCCGAGACACCUAAAAAUAUCACGCAAGAAUCAGUAAAGAGAUUUGGUCAUCCCAUUUUGAAUACUUGUGGUCAGGUAUCUCGAAGAGAUUUGGCUGAAUAACUAUUACAGAGAUAUUGAGGUCAAACGAUGGGCGGGCAUUGGACUUUCAUAUUUUCGCAAGUUCCCCCUCAGCUGCCCCUUGCAAAACCUGACAAGCUAAAAUAGCCAUGUCCUGCCUUUUGGUCAUUUCACGGAUCGACAAACCAUAGCUAGUGUAAAUUUAAUUAAGAUUGUUUCUUAGGAGUUAAAGAUAAAACCAUUCUAUUGUA
rnacentral:lncRNA from 1 species